CCUACGGGCGGCAGCAGUGGGGAAUAUUGGACAAUGGGCGAAAGCCUGAUCCAGCAAUGCCGCGUGUGUGAAGAAGGCCUUCGGGUUGUAAAGCACUUUCAGUGGGGAAGAAAGCCUUGGGGCUAAUACCCUCGAGGAAGGACAUCACCCACAGAAGAAGCACCGGCUAACUCCGUGCCAGCAGCCGCGGUAAUACGGAGGGUGCGAGCGUUAAUCGGAAUUACUGGGCGUAAAGCGCGCGUAGGCGGUCUGAUAAGCCGGUUGUGAAAGCCCCGGGCUCAACCUGGGAACGGCAUCCGGAACUGUCAGGCUAGAGUGCAGGAGAGGAAGGUAGAAUUCCCGGUGUAGCGGUGAAAUGCGUAGAGAUCGGGAGGAAUACCAGUGGCGAAGGCGGCCUUCUGGACUGACACUGACGCUGAGGUGCGAAAGCGUGGGUAGCAAACAGGAUUAGAUACCCCGGUAGUC
rnacentral:rRNA from 1 species